GGCUGGAAUAUGGCAUAGUGGUUUGAGUGUUGGACUACGACUCUGGACACCAGGGUUCGAUUCCCUGCUCAGUCA